CUUUACUUCGCCUUCCGGAGGAAGCCAGCUCUGCAGCACAGGCCAGAAAGUGGCUUGUGGGCUCGUGAUGCAAGGCACUUUGACGCCUCUGUGGCUGAGACAGAACAUCCUGUGCUGCACCAUUUCACCCUCCAGCUACCUCUCCCAGGGCCAAGGAGCAGAGGAGGGGAGCUGGCACAGAGGGCAGGGGCAUUUACUCCUGGCAGCCCCUUAUCUAAUGGAAUGGGACAGGUUGGUGCUGGAUUCACUCUGGAUCAGAACCAGUGCUAGGCAUAAGUAGACUCAUCAAUUGCUUAUAGCCCUGACUAACUCUAUUAAUUAUUCGUGUGUGUGGAUCCUCAGAUAUUCCUGCUUCGGCCCCCAAAGGACUAACACCGGCGCUGCUCUGGAUCCCUUGUAUAUUAUGAUUUUUCUGUUUUCUUUCUUUCUUUCCCAUUUGUGAAUGCCCAUCAGAACCUCAGCAUUCCAGUCGGCUAACCCUAUUCCACCUUUCCAGAAUGCAGAUUCAUCCUGCUUAGCGUGGAGCUAUGACAGGGCUUUCCAUCGUCCAAGCCCUCUGCGAGCAUUACCCGGCAAAGCCACUCAGCCAGUGUGAUCAUGCUGUCAGUGCUUCUGCAGAGGAUCUCGAAGUGCUGGAGGAACCUGCUUUAAUUAGGCCUUGCAAUAUAUCAGUGAGGUGCAGUAGAGGAGUUAACAUUGUCCCCAACUUACCGAUGGGGAAAGGGCAUGAGUGCACGCACGUGUGUGCACGUGGGUAUGCAUAGGAGUGUGUGUGUAUGUGUGUGGGUACACAUGUGCAUGUUUGUGUGGGGGGAGCGGGGGGCUGUAUACAUUUUGUUAGGAUAUAGAUAUUCAAGCCUGUCUGUAAAGGCCUAUACUUUAAGAAUUUAGAUAUAUGUUUAUCAUUUAGCUAGUUAUAGAGGUAUACCAGAAAGAAUCCGUGUAAGAGCCUUCUUUCACUCGAUUUAAGCUUGCCGGAAGUUUACCCCAAUAAACAUUGAAUGGUUUGCACCUUCA